CCCAGAAGUUGCCUCUUUAACUAAUAAAUACAGUGCCCUAGGAGGAGUGCAGGCCUGGAAAGCUGAUGGCAAUUUCAACUACAUUAAGCUUCAGCUGUGAGGCCAAGUGGACGCUAGACAGAGCGUGAAGAGUUGGCAGAAGAAAAAGGGAAAGAGAGAACCAGGAAGGGUUACAGGAGCAAAGGCCCCGUGUUUGCAGGUCUUAGGAUGUCGAAAUCCUGCCGCUGGCUCUAAAAGCCUUGGCGUCGUGGGAAACAAACAAACAAAGCAAAAACAUCUAUUCAUCUGGAUUUUAUUCAUUUGUUUUAAAUACAAACAAAAGGAGAGAGGAGACAUGGUUAUUUCUGCAGCAACUAUUUCAAAUGCAACUUAUUCCAUCGCUCCAGGUGUUCCAAUGGUGUUUGUCACCGUAAGACCCACGGGGCUAGUUCCAACCAUUAUACUAGGGAUGGAUAUGUGCAUUCGUUAUAUUCUU
rnacentral:lncRNA from 1 species